CUGGGAGGUGCGGGCCGAGCGGCUCAGUGCGCCCGCGGCCGGCCGAGGGAGCCGCUCCUCCUGUCCCCGGCCCGCGUCCCAUCCCCCGGUCCCCGCGCCCCGGUGCCCGGGUCGGUCCCCGUCCGGGUCGCCCGGUCCCGGCGCUCGGGCCGGCAGUCCCAUCGCCGUGCCCCCCGGCCCCCGGUCCUCGUCAGUCGUCACUCAGGCCCCGUCCCGGUCACCAGACCGGCGUGCUCGUUCCCGUCCCGCCUCCCGGGCCGGUCACCUGGGCCCCGUCACCGGGUCCCCGUCCCCUGCUCCCCGGCCAAGCGGCUCCGGCGCCGCGGCGGGGCCGAGCGCAGCCAGGCGGGCCCCCUGUCCCCUCUGUGCACCCUCUUCCGACCUCGGGACCGCGCUGCUCCCCUCCUUCGUCCUCAGCUCCGUCCCUCCCGUCCCUCCCGUCCCUCCCGUCGCUCCCUUCCCUCCGACCUCUGGGCGCCCUGUCCCCUCAGGACCCUCUGUUCCCCCCGACCGCCUCCAUCUCCUCUGACCCUUCUCUGUCCCCCGACCUUCGUCCUCCGCUGUCCCCUGUCCAUCUUCUGUCCCGCCCCGUCAGUCUUCUGUCCACCGCCCCCCAUUCUCUGUCCAUUUCCUGUCCCCCCAUCAAUCUUCUGUCCACCGCCACCCAUCUUCUGUCCCCCCGGUCAAUCUUCUGUCCACCGCCCCCCCAUCUUCUGUCCCCCAUCCAUCUUCUGUCCCCCCGUCCAUCUUCUGUCCCCCCGUCCAUCUUCUGUCCCUGCUGCCCCCAUUCUCCUGCCCCCCGUCCAUCUUCUGUCUCCGCUGCCCCCAUUCUCCUCUGUCCCCCCGUCCAUCUUCUGUCUCCGCUGCCCCCAUUCUCCUGCCCCCCGUCCAUCUUCUGUCCCCCCCUGUCAAUCAUCUGUCCACCGCCCCCAUCCUCUGUCCCCCGUCCAUCUUCUGUCCCCGCUGCCCCCAUUCUCCUCUGUCCCCCGUCCAUCUUGUCUCCGCUGCCCCCAUUCUCCUGUCCCCCGUCCAGCUUCUGUCCCCCCCGUCAAUCAUCUGUCCACCGCCCCCAUCCUCUGUCCCCCCGUCCAUCUUCUGUCCACCGCCCCCAUCCUCUGUCCCCCCCGUCAAUCAUCUGUCCACCGCCACCCAUCUUCUGUCCCCCCCGUCAAUCAUCUGUCCACCACCCCCCAUCCUCUGUCCCCCGUCCAUCUUCUGUCCCCCGUCCAGCUUCUGUCCCCGCUGCCCCCAUUCUCCUGCCCCCCGUCCAUCUUCUGUCCCCCAUCCAUCUUCUGUCCCCCCUCGUCAAUCUUCUGUCCACCACACCCCCCCCCGUGUCCUUCAUCCGUCUUCUGUCUCCGCUGCCCCCAUUCUCCUCUGUCCCCCCCCGUCCAUCUUCCUGUCCCCCCGUCCAUCUUCUGUCCACCACCCCCAUCCUCUGUCCCCCCGUCCAUCUUCUGUCCCCCCGUCCAUCUUCUGUCUCCGCUGCCCCCAUUCUCCUCUGUCCCCCCGUCCAUCUUCUGUCUCCGCUGCCCCCAUUCUCCUCUGUCCCCUGUCCAUCUUCUGUCUCCGCUGCCCCCAUUCUCCUCUGUCCCCCGUCCAUCUUCUGUCCCCCCGUCCAUCUUCUGUCCCCCCCUGUCAAUCAUCUGUCCACCGCCCCCAUCCUCUGUCCCCCUGUCCAUCUUCUGUCCACCGCCCCCCAUCCUCUGUCCCCCCCCGUCCAUCCUCUGUCCCCCGUCCACCUUCUGUCCCCCCCCGUCAAUCAUCUGUCCACCACCCCCCAUCCUCUGUCCCCCGUCCAUCUUCUGUCCCCCGUCCAUCUUCUGUCCCCGCUGCCCCCAUUCCUCCUCUGUCCCCCUCCAUCUUCUGUCCCCCAUCCAUCUUCUGUCCCCCCUCGUCAAUCUUCUGUCCACCACACCCCCCCCGUGUCCUUCAUCCGUCUUCUGUCUCCGCUGCCCCCCAUUCUCCUCUGUCCCCCCCGUCCAUCUUCUGUCCCCCCCGUCAAUUCAUCUGUCCACCACCCCCCAUCCUCUGUCCCCCAUCCAUCUUCUGUCCCCCGUCCAUCUUCUGUCCCCGCUGCCCCCAUUCUCCUCUGUCCCCCGUUCCAUCUUCUGUCUCCGCUGCCCCCAUUCUCCUCUGUUCCCCCGUCCAUCUUCUGUCCUCCGCUGCCCCCAUUCUCCUCUGCCCCCAUUCUCCUGUCCCCCAUCCAUCUUCUGUCCCCCCCUGUCAAUCAUCUGUCCACUGCCCCCAUCCUCUGUCCCCCGUCCACCUUCUGUCCCCCGUCCAUCUUCCUGUCCCCGCUGCCCCCAUUCUCCUCUGUCCCCUGUCCAUCUUCUGUCUCCGCUGCCCCCAUUCUCCUCUGUCCCCCCCCGUCAAUCAUCUGUCCCCCCCGUCAAUCAUCUGUCCACUGCCCCCAUCCUCUUGUCCCCCGUCCAUCCUCUGUCCCCCCCGUCAUCAUCUGUCCACCGCCCCCAUUCUCUGUCCCCCCGUCAUCUUCUGUCCCCCGUCCAUCUUGUCUCCGCUGCCCCCUUCUCCUCUGUCCCCCGUCCAUCUUCUGUCCCUGCUGCCCCCAUUCUCCUCUGUCCCCCCCGUCAUCAUCUGUCCACCGCCCCCCAUCCUCUGUCCCCCGGCCAUCUUCUGUCCCCGCUGGCCCCCAUUCCUCCUCUGUCCCCCCGUCCAUCUUCUGUCCCCCCGUCCAUCUUGUCUCCGCUGCCCCCAGUCUCCUCUGUCCCCCUGUCCAUCUUCUGUCCCCCGUCCAUCUUCUGUCUCCGCUGCCCCCAUUCUCCUCUGUCCCCCGUUCCAUCUUCUGUUCCCCCCCGUCAAUCAUCUGUCCACCGCCCCCCAUCCUCUGUCCCCCGUCAAUCUUCUGUCUCCGCUGCCCCCAUUCCUCCUCUGUCCCCCGUCCAUCUUCUGUCCCCCGUCCAUCUUGUCUCCGCUGCCCCCAUUCUCCUCUGCCCCCAUUCUCCUCUGUCCCCCCCGUCCAUCUUCUGUCCUCCGCUGCCCCCAUUCUCCUCUGUCCCCCCGUCCAUCUUCUGUCCCCCCCGUCAAUCAUCUGUCCACCGCCCCCCAUCCUCUGUUCCCCCGUCCAUCUUCUGUCUCCGCUGCCCCCUUCUCCUCUGUCCCCUGUCCAUCUUCUGUCUCUGCUGCCCCCAUUCUCUUCUGUCUCCCGUCCAUCUUCUGUCCCCCCCGUCAAUCAUCUGUCCACCGCCCCCCAUCCUCUGUCCCCCGUCCAUCUUCUGUCCCCCCGUCCAUCUUCGUCCCCGCUGCCCCCAUUCUCCUCUGUCCCCCUGUCGAUCUCCUGUCCCCGCUGCCCCCAUUCUCCUCUGUCCCCCGUCCAUCUUCUGUCUCUGCUGCCCCCAUUCUCUUCUGUCUCCCGUCCAUCUUCUGUCCCCCCCGUCAAUCAUCUGUCCACCGCCCCCCAUCCUCUGUCCCCCGUCCAUUCUUCUGUCCCCGCUGCCCCCAUUCUCCUCUGGUCCCCUGUCCAUCUUCUGUCCCCGCUGCCCCCAUUCUCCUCUGUCCCCCGUCCAUCUUCUGUCCCCGCUGCCCCCAUUCUCCUCUGUCCCCCGUCCAUCUUCUGUCUCCGCUUGCCCCCAUUCUCCUCUGUCCCCUGUCCAUCUUCUGUCCCCCCCGUCAAUCUUCUGUCCACCACACCCCCCCCGUGUCCUUCAUCCGUCUUCUGUCUCCCCUGCCCCCAUUCUCCUCUGUCCCCUGUCCAUCUUCUGUCCCCCCCGUCAAUCUUCUGUCCACCGCCUCCCAUCCUGUUCCCUGUCCAUCUUCUGUCCCCCCCCCCGUCAAUCUUCUGUCCACCACACCCCCCUGUGUCCUUCAUCCACCUUCUGUCCCCGCUGCCCCCAUUCUCCUCUGUCCCCUGUCCAUCUUCUGUCUCCGCUGCCCCCAUUCUCCUCUGUCCCCCGUCCAUCUUCUGUCCCCGCUGCCCCCAUUCUCCUCUGUCCCCUGUCCAUCUUCUGUCCCCCCCGUCAAUCUUCUGUCCACCACACCCCCCCCCCCCCGUCAAUCAUCUGUCCACCGCCCCCCAUCCUCUGUCCCCCGUCCAUCUUCUGUCUCCGCUGCCCCCAUUCUCCUCUGUCCCCCGUCCACCUUCUGUCCCCCCCGUCAAUCAUCUGUCCACCGCCCCCCAUCCUCUGUCCCCCGUCCAUCUUCUGUCCCCCGUCCAUCUUCUGUCCCCCCCCCCCCGUCAAUCUUCUGUCCCCCCCGUCAAUCAUCUGUCCACCGCCCCCCAUCCUCUGUCCCCCGUCCAUCUUCUGUCCCCCGUCCAUCUUCUGUCUCCCCUGCCCCCAUUCUCCUCUGUCCCCUGUCCAUCUUCUGUCCCCCCGUCCAUCUUCUGUCUCCCCUGCCCCCAUUCUCCUCUGUCCCCUGUCCAUCUUCUGUCCCCGCUGCCCCCAUCUCCUCUGUCCCCCGUCCAUCUUCUGUCUCCGCUGCCCCCAUUCUCCUCUGUCCCCCGUCCAUCUUCUGUCUCCCCUGCCCCCAUUCUCCUCUGUCCCCUGUCCAUCUUCUGUCUCCCCUGCCCCCAUUCUCCUCUGUCCCCCGUCCAUCUUCUGUUCCCCUUGUCUCUGCCUCAUCCCGCUCAGGCCUCAGGCCCAUAGUGCUGGUGACUCCUGGUUGUGUCGUGAGGGUCUGGAAGGCCUGAGUGCUGGGUGCGAAUCGGAGUCCCCCCUUGUGACUCCUUGUCUAGCACACACAUCUGUACGCCUGGGAAACCUGGAAUUGCAGGAAAAGGGUCAAAAUACCUAGAAGGCCGAUGUUGGAUCUGCUGUCUUUGAGGGGGAUAGUUUAGGAUAACACUCGGAUUCUGUGAGAAAGAAUUUGGCCUUAAAAAAAAGAAAUGCCUCGAGGUGCCUGGUGGUGCAGUCGGUUUAGCGUCCGACGUCGGCUCCGGUCGUGAUCUCACAGUUGGUGGGUUCGAACCCUGCAUUGGGCUCUGCGCUGACAGCUCAGAGCCUGGAGCUGCUUCGGAUUCUGUCUCUCCCUCUCCCUCUGCUUCUCCCCACUCACGCUCUGUCUCUCUCUCUCUGUUUCUCAAAAAUAAAUAAAAGUUAAAAAAAAAAAAAGAGAGAGAU
rnacentral:lncRNA from 1 species